UUUAAUAUAAGAGUUCUAUCAACUUAUAGCUAUGCUUUAAAGUUGCCCUUACUAAGAUGUCUGUGUCAAACAUGGAAGUCAUUUCUAAGCUCGACAUUUUCCCAUAGACUAACAAGAACAAAUAGCUCGGGGCGAACAACGAGACUAGAAAACGUUUAACACUAGCGCGUGAAAUGACAGGGCAUUGUUGAUAGUGCCGGCUCCCAGGACGCAUGCCGCCGGAUAUUUAUGACGGGUUGUGCACCAGCCCUUACCUGCCCAGUGUGCCAGCUCGCCCUUCGUUAACGCCCGGACAAUACAUAAGAGGGCGAGCCCAUUCAACUGCACAGAUUACUCUUUACUACAGCACACUUUUUGUUCUCUGUUGAUAUGAACCACUAUUUAUUCUUACGAUUAUCUAACCCCUUAACUCCUUGAUAACUUACAGAUUGCGGCCGCCGCUUUCAUAGCUUUCCUACCGUUUUAUUUAUGAUUCUAGGCAAGUCAGAAGUCAAUUCAAAGCAAACGAAGUAAAAGGAUUUUCUCUAUUUACCAAACCAACACGGACCGCUGUCGCUGACAGGACAAUGCUGUUCUGGACUCAAUGACGUCACCGAUGCCUGCGCAGACGCCGGCCGACGCCGCCGCCGACGCUCCAGGCGCCACAUUUGCAGCGCACAUGAUACAUGAACGAUUGACAAGUUAAUUGCCGGAGGUGUCAGCACGACAACAGUGAAAGGAGUGACGUGACGAGGGGAUGACGUCGGGCACGACUACAAACCAUUAGAAUUCUGAUACAAACAGUUUAUGUAAUAAUGCGGUAAAACAAUUGGUUAAAUAA